UGAAAAUGUAAAUUUUAUACUAGAGUAGUAGUAGAUAUAGUCUUUAAACUUAAAAAAUUUGGCGGUAUUUUAGUCUAUUCAGAGGAACCUGUUCUAUAAUCGAUAGUCCACGAUGGACCCUACUUAAAUUUGUAAUCAGUAUAUAUACCGUCGUUACCAGAAGAUUUUAAAAGAAAUUUAAUUUUCAAUAAUUUUAAUAAAAAUUUAUAUCAGAUCAAGGUGUAGCUUAUAUUUAAGAAGAAAUGGGUUACAAUUAAUUUAUUAUUGGAUUUAUUUAUGAAAAAAAUAAUGAAAAUGGAUUUGAUAGUAAAAUUUUAAAGAAUAAAAAUUUGAUUUUAGCUCUAAAAUAUGCAC
rnacentral:rRNA from 1 species